rnacentral:rRNA from 1 species
AGCAGCCGCGGUAAUUCCAGCUCCAAUAGCGUAUAUUAAAGUUGCUGCAGUUAAAAAGCUCGUAGUUGAAUUUCGGGAUCAAUAUGUUGGUCGUGCCUCGGUACGUACUAGCUUAUUGGUUUCUCCCUUCUGACGAACCAUGAUGUCAUUUAUUUGGUGUUAUGGGAAAUCAGGACUGUUACUUUGAAAAAAUUAGAGUGUUUAAAGCAGGCUCGCGCUUGAAUACAUUAGCAUGGAAUAAUGAAAUAGGACGUUUGAUUCUAUUUUGUUGGUUUCUAGGAUCGACGUAAUGAUUAAUAGGGAUAGUUGGGGGCAUUAGUAUUCAAUUGUCAGAGGUGAAAUUCUUGGAUUUAUUGAAGACUAACUACUGCGAAAGCAUUUGCCAAGGAUGUUUUCAUUAAUCAAGAACGAAAGUUAGGGGAUCGAAGACGAUCAGAUACCGUCGUAGUCUUAACCAUAAACUAUGCCGACUAGGGAUCGGAUGAUGUUAAUUUUUUAAUGACUCAUUCGGCGCCUUACG